CCAAAAAUGGUAUCUACCUUUUUAGAUAUACUUAAUGUGAUAUUUAACCACUUUAAUAUAUGUAUGUAUAUGAAAGUUAAAGCAGCAUCAGUCAUUAAAUUUAAACUAUUAUAGUGAUAUAAAUUUAGACUAUUUUUUCUACGCGAUAAACUAGGUGCCAGCAAUCGCGGUUAUACCUGGAGUGUAAGGUGAUUAGGCUUGAACUUUCCUAUUAGCAUUUAAUACGUAGAUUUUCCAGUGAAAUGGAACUAAACGUAUAAGUUUUUAUAGCUUAUGUUUUAAAUUACUCGCAGACUAAACAAGGAUUAGAUACCCUUCUAUUUACGAGAAACAUAGGAAAUUUAGUUCGAGGAGUAUUUCUAAAACUCAAACAUUAUGGCGGCUCUUGGAAACAAUCAGGGGAACUUACCUAAUAAUUGAUAGCCACCAAGGCAAGCUACUUUAAAUAAAAGCUUGUAUGCCGUCGUUUAAAAUUGUUUUUAGAACAAUUUUACUACUCGUUCACGAGUCAAGAACAGAUCAAGGUGCAGCUAAUAAUAAAGAUUAAGGCGAGUUACAAUACUAAUUUUCUUCUUUAACAAGUUUGUAAGAACUUAAAGAGUUGGACUUGUAAGUAAUUUAAAACUAAAAAAUAAUAUAUGAAUAUUAAUUUCAAUAGUGU
rnacentral:rRNA from 1 species